AGCAUGUAUUUCCUAUUCUGUCUGGUUGGCUUGCUGCUUAAAAAUCAGAAUACAGAAGAGAAGACAGUCUUGUGGAGGGUCAAAGGAGCCACUGUUUGUAGUUAUUUGGGAUCUUUGAGGAAACCCCUGCUAAAAUAACUUGAUUGGAGAUUUUCCUUAGUCUGGACCAAACCUUCCCAUUAUUGGACACAGAUGGUCAGCUAGUAAUCAAUCAUCUAUAAUUAUGCUUUGGAAAAACCUCAUGAGCAAAGACCCUCGACUUGUAGUCAAAGCUACAAUUUCUAUCUUAUCACCAACAUCACCAAGUAUGCUGCUUUAGGGGUAUUCCAAAGAGCUGCGAAAUCACUCCGGAGACACAGGACAUUUCCCAGGAUUGGACGAGGCCAGUAAGGUGAAAGAGUAGAGGCCUGAAGAUUCCAGAGAGCUAGUAACAACUUCACUGAAGUGGCUGAGAUCCACAGUGUGUCAGGAGGUGUUUCUAGAGAGGUACAGUAGAUGGGAAAUGAGAGGACAUGAAUUCAGUAAGCUCCUUAACCUCCUGCCUCAUUUAUCAAAUGGGUCUGAUGAAAGUGAUAUAUAUGAAAGCACCUGGCAUAAUAUUGGUCAGAUUGUGGUGCUUGAUGAUGGAAUGGUGCAUAAAUAAAUAAACACGGGCUCUCAAUCAA
ensembl:lncRNA LINC01031 long intergenic non-protein coding RNA 1031